UUGCGUUAGCGGUUGAAAUGGUAUCCUUUUUUUGCUGCCAUAUAUGGUAAAAAAAGAUAUAAUGGAAGACGCUACUUUUU
rnacentral:sRNA from 1 species